UAAAAAAAACCCACAAAAGGAAAGAUCAUGAAAAUAAAUCCUACCAUUCUCGCACCUAUCUCAUCUAAAAAUAAAAUGUACAAAAUUACAAAAACUUUGCAAAAAUAUUAGAAGAAGGGUUCACCAUAAAUCGGUAUAUUCAUCUUAAAUAACAUUAAUAGUUUCCCAUAAUAAUACUCUAUUAGUCGAUGUUUAGGCAGUUUCAGUGUUGGAACAUAAUGAUACUAUAUAAAGUGACAUGAGGCUCAAAUAUAUAAAGCAGAUGCCCAAGAAAAUUAGAUGGGUAUCUCAAUGUAUGCAUGAACAAAAUCCUAAGAUUAUUUUUUUCAAAAUUUCACUACCAAAAACCAGAAGAAUGACAUGAAGUGCAUGCAAUAACCAUCAAAAUUUUUAACAUAUACUUAACUCAACUUCUUACUUCAAAUAGCCAAAACAUUGAUU
rnacentral:lncRNA from 1 species